UUUUUUUUUUCUUGUUUUUUUUUCGGUUUUUUUUUUUUUUUUUUUUUUUGGGGGGGGGGGUAUUUUUGUAGGCAUAUUAAACAUAAAUAUGUACAUCUGUUUUUAUGUCAUAUCUCAACCUCCGUAUAUUUGGUUUCCUCGGAAAUGUUUUUACACGAUGUAUUUUCUGGAAAAUACACUGUACUACAAAGACCGUGCAAUGUCUUGAGAGAAAGCGAAAUUCAGAGAGAGAAGCACAUUAAUUUAUUGUCACAUAUAAUUAGAUCUCAAAGGGAGUUGCAGAAUAACGGAUACUGGCGAAUGUCAAAAUUGAACAAAAAAGUUUGCAAAAUUAUAAAGAAUAACAACGGAAAAUAAAAUAAUUAUUUAAUAUAAUAGUGUAGACCAUGUACAGAAUUAAGAAAUCAUGUGAUAGAAGAAUUUUACAAAAUCGUUAAUUGAAGAUUUUACAGAAUAAGCGUUAUAUUUAAAGAUAAAGAACAUUUAGGUCCACACUUCAUAUGGACCCUUAAAAAUCGUUGGAUUAUCUCGGUGUUGCUGGUCAGUAAUGAAUAAAAAAUCACUGGUCAAUUUAAAGGUUGUUGUAAGUGAUGCAAUAUAUUCUUAUUUUCCUGUUCCCCUUAUGUAACUUCCAGUUUUAUUAAAGUUUACAUUCAUCAAAGCCUUAGUUUAAUUUAGUUUCCUGUCAUUACUAUACCCCCCCCCUUUUAUUUGUCGCAUGUUGUGUAUCAUGUACUGAUUCUAUAUAUACUUCGAGCAUACAUAUGUACACUUAUGGAACAAUAACCAUUUAGUAAACUUUUUAAAACGUUUUUGUAGACUUGUAUACAAUAAAUUUCAUACAGAACAAAAAAAGAUAUUAACAAAGAUGUCAGUUCGUCUGCGUGUUUUACUUGUUAACUUGCAGAUGUAUAAAUACUACUCUUUAUUUUCAAGAAUCAUUGAUAUAAUGUUUGUUUAUAUAUGCGAUGUUAAGCAGCAGUAUAUGGACAGAACACGUUCUGUCGUGAUAUAGUACCAAAACACAAGCUUUUACAUGUUCCGCUGCUAAAGAAACCGUUUUUUUUUUUUUUCAAAAGUGGCCAAAUCAUAUAUCGGAACGGAGAAAAAGUGUAAACAGAUGACUUACAAGAUAGUCUAAGAGAUUUAUGAAUUGGUUACCCAAAAAUGACAAAGUUCAACUAUCUCUCAUUAGAGCAAAUAUUAAUAAAGAUCAAAACCCUGACCACAUGCAAACAGACAGCAAAGUGAAAACGUUCUAGGAUUCAAACUGUAGAUGUUUUGCGGAAUAACUAUAAAGGGGGACGGACGGACGGAAGGACGGGCGGCCAGACGGAAUGACGGGCGGACAGACGUACAGGGGUAGUUGAGGGGGGCAUAAAAAAAUAUAGCUUCAAUUACAUCUUUUAUUGCGUCAACUUGUAGACAGUAACCCUGAUGAUUUCUAUUUUUAAGUUUUUACCAUUUUUGCGUUCAUGUACUUACAACGUAUUUUUGUCUGAAUUAGUAAUUGUUUUAGAUAUGUAUAUUGAUAAUGAACAUACAUGUAUCAUAUUUUUUACAACGUAUAAUUUCUUUUUAAAAUGUUCCAUAAAAGAGGGUCUGAUUGGGGUUUACGGAAUACAGAAUAAUGGGCAAAAAUUGCAGAAUAAAAUGCAAAAAAGAAAAAAAAAAAA
rnacentral:lncRNA from 1 species